rnacentral:rRNA from 1 species
CCUGGUUGAUCCUGCCAGUAGUCAUAUGCUUGUCUCAAAGAUUAAGCCAUGCAUGUGUAAGUACAGGCCGACUUAAGGCGAAACCGCGGACGGCUCAUUAAAUCAGAUAUAACUCAUUGGAUCUCUGCCGAACCGCACUACUUGGAUAACUGUGGUAAUUCUAGAGCUAAUACAUGCCUUUGUAGUCUCCGACCGCGAGGGAGGAGCGCUUUUAUUAGACCAAAACCCUCGGCGGCCGGCCCUUCAACCGGCCGGCCGCGAUCUCCUUGGUGAAUCAGAAUAACUUUGGCCGAGCGCACGACCCCUCCCGCAACCCGGGUUGGGUCGGCGCCGCGUCCUGCAGGCGUCUGCCUUAUCAGCUCUCGAUUGUAGGUUAAACGCCUACAAUGGCUAUCACGGGUAACGGGGAAUCAGGGUUCGAUUCCGGAGAGGGAGCCUGAGAAACGGCUACCACAUCUAAGGAAGGCAGCAGGCGCGCAAAUUACCCACUCCCGGCACGGGGAGGUAGUGACGAAAAAUACUGUUGCGAGCCCCGAACGGGGCCUCGCAAUUGGAAUGAGUACACUUUAAAUCCUUGUACGAGGAUCGAGUGGAGGGCAAGUCUGGUGCCAGCCGCCGCGGUAAUUCCAGCUCCACUAGCGUAUAUUAAAGUUGUUGCGGUUGAAACGCUCGUAGUUUGACUUCUGCUCCGGACCGGCGGUCCGCCUUAGCGGCGGCUACUGCCGGGUUCCGAGCUGUGUCCCCGCCGGCGCGCACGGGGUUUUUUAUGCCCUUAACCGGGUGUCCCCCUGUGGCCGGCACGUUUACUUUGAAAAAAUUAGAGUGCUCAGAGCAGGCUGGUCUUUGCUUACAGCCCGAAUGGUCGUGCAUGGAAUGAUGGAACAGGACCUCGGUUCUAUUCCAUCAUUCCAUGCACGACCAUUCGGGCUGUAAGCAAAGACCAGCCUGAAUGGUCGUGCAUGGAAUGAUGGAACAGGACCUCGGUUCUAUUUUGUCGGUUUUUCGGAACCCGAGGUAAUGAUUAAUAGAAGCAGACGGGGGCAUUCGUACUGCGACGCUAGAGGUGAAAUUCUUAGACCGUCGCAUGACGACCUACUGCGAAAGCAUCUGCCAAGGAUGUUUUCAUUGAUCAAGGACGAAAGUUAGAGGUUCGAAGGCGAUCAGAUACCGCCCUAGUUCUAACCUUAAACGAUGCUGACUAGCGAUCCGCCGCAGUUAUUCCCAUGACCCGGCGGGUAGCUUCCGGGAAACCAAAGUCUUUGAGUUCCGGAGGGAGCCAAAGCUCACAAAAUGGAUGAAGAGGUACAGAAGUGGAGCAAGAAGGAUUUGCAAGGUAUCAAAGAUGCCAUGGCACACCCAGAGGUGUUGGAAGCAUUAGAAUGUGGUGAGAUGAAGUUUGAAUCCACUGGAAGUAUUUCUUCAUGUAGUGAAGAUGAGGAUGAGGAUGAAGAAGUUGAUCCCCUUACUGUUGAUACCCCCACUACCCCAACUGUUGGAACUGUCAAGAGAGGAGCCCAGACUAUUGUCAGUCAGUCACAGCAGCAGCAACAUAUUCGCCAGCCUGUGCAGAAUGGACGCACACCUUUGUCGACAAGUGUGGCUAACUCAGCCAUGAAUCAUUC